AAUUCGAUUAGAGUUUGAUCAUGGCUCAUAACGUACGCUGGCGGCACGCCUAACACAUGCAAGUCGAACGAAGUAGCAAUACUUAGUGGCAGACGGGUGAGUAACAUGUAGGUAUCUGCCCUUUGGCCUGGAAUAACACGAGGAAACUUGUGCUAAUACCGGAUAAGUCUUUACAGAGAAAGCUUUAUGCACCAUUGGAUGAGCCUGCACUUGAUUAGUUUGUUGGUGGGGUAAUGGCCUACCAAGACUGUGAUCAAUAGCUGAUUUGAGAGGAUGAUCAGCCACAUUGGGACUGAGACACGGCCCAAACUCCUACGGGAGACAGCAGUGGGGAAUCUUGCACAAUGGAGGAAACUCUGAUGCAGCGAUGCCGCGUGAGUGAAGAAGGCCCUUGGGUUGUAAAGCUCUUUCGUCGGGGAAGAAAAUGACUGUACCCGAAUAAGAAGGUCCGGCUAACUUCGUGCCAGCAGCCGCGGUAAUACGAAGGGACCUAGCGUAGUUCGGAAUUACUGGGCUUAAAGAGUUCGUAGGUGGUUGAAAAAGUUGGUGGUGAAAUCCCAGAGCUUAACUCUGGAACUGCCAUCAAAACUUUUCAGCUAGAGUAUGAUAGAGGAAAGCAGAAUUUCUAGUGUAGAGGUGAAAUUCGUAGAUAUUAGAAAGAAUACCAAUUGCGAAGGCAGCUUUCUGGAUCAUUACUGACACUGAGGAACGAAAGCAUGGGUAGCGAAGAGGAUUAGAUACCCUCGUAGUCCAUGCCGUAAACGAUGUGUGUUAGACGUUGGAAAUUUAUUUUCAGUGUCGCAGCGAAAGCGAUAAACACACCGCCUGGGGAGUACGACCGCAAGGUUAAAACUCAAAUGAAUUGACGGGGACCCGCACAAGUAGUGGAGCAUGUGGUUUAAUUCGAAGAUACGCGCAGAACCUUACCAACACUUGACAUGUUCGUCGCGACUUUAAGAGAUUAAAGUUUUCGGUUCGGCCGGACGAAACACAGGUGCUGCAUGGCUGUCGUCAGCUCGUGUCGUGAGAUGUUGGGUUAAGUCCCGCAACGAGCGCAACCCUCACUUUUAGUUGCCAUCAUUAAGUUGGGCACUCUGAAAGAACUGCCAGUGAUAAGCUGGAGGAAGGUGGGGAUGACGUCAAGUCCUCAUGGCCCUUACGUGUUGGGCUACACACGUGCUACAAUGGUAUCUACAACAGGAAGCAAGACGGCGACGUUAAGCAAAUCCUUAAAAGAUACCUCAGUUCGGAUUGCACUCUGCAACUCGAGUGCAUGAAGCUGGAAUUACUAGUAAUCGUGGAUCAGCGUGCCACGGUGAAUGCGUUCCCGG
rnacentral:rRNA from 1 species